rnacentral:rRNA from 1 species
CCUACGGGUGGCUGCAGUGGGGAAUAUUGGACAAUGGGGGGAACCCUGAUCCAGCCAUGGCGCGUGUGUGAAGAAGGCCCUCGGGUUGUAAAGCACUUUCAGUGAGGAAGAACGCCUGGUGGUUAAUACCCAUCAGGAAAGACAUCACUCACAGAAGAAGCACCGGCUAACUCCGUGCCAGCAGCCGCGGUAAUACGGAGGGUGCGAGCGUUAAUCGGAAUUACUGGGCGUAAAGCGCGCGUAGGUGGCUUGAUAAGCCGGUUGUGAAAGCCCCGGGCUCAACCUGGGAACGGCAUCCGGAACUGUCAAGCUAGAGUGCAGGAGAGGAAGGUAGAAUUCCCGGUGUAGCGGUGAAAUGCGUAGAGAUCGGGAGGAAUACCAGUGGCGAAGGCGGCCUUCUGGACUGACACUGACACUGAGGUGCGAAAGCGUGGGUAGCAAACAGGAUUAGAUACCCUUGUAGUC